rnacentral:rRNA from 1 species
AACUGGAUCUAGUUCAGCCUGUGAAUCGCUACAUAGUAGCGAGUUGUGGCUUAUAGAAGAUGUGUCGGACUAGACUUCAGGCUUAAUUAUACUGGAACGUAUAGGCGAAGAGGUUGAGACCACCGUUCAUGUUUGAAGUUCUUGUCCAUGGCAUACACCUUCGACGAGUCGAUUUGCUUGGGAUUGCAGAUCAAAGUGUCACGUAAAUUUGUGAUAAAACUAAAUAUUGGUGGGAAACCGAUAGCGAACAAGUAAUGUGAAUGAAAGUUGCAAAGAACUUUGAAAAGAGAGUUAAAGAGUACUCGAAAUCGUUGAAAGGGAAGCGUACGCAAACAGUGUUUCACUGCACCAUCUUUCUUCAUUAGCUUGCUAUUGAAGCGCUGUGGUGUAGAGUUUGUCAACAAGGGUUUGGAUCGAAGCAUAAGUAUGGCUGGGAGGCACACGUCUUUUCGUGGAUUACCAGCCUGUCUCGUUUUGGUCUGGAUUGAGGCUAGUCUUCGUGUUGUUGUCGAAAUGUUUGUGUACACCCCGUCUUGAAACACGGACCAAGGAGUCUAGCAUCUGUGCGAGUGUCUGAUUUUUAACAUCAUACGCGUAAUGAAAGUAACAGUGGUGGUAUAUUUUGC